UUACAGCCAUAUCAUGUUGAAACAACAGUUCUUAUCUGAUCACUGAAGUUAAGCAAUGUCAAGUCUGGUCAGUACCUAGAUGAGUGACCACAUGGAAAUGUCAGGGGCUGUAA